rnacentral:tRNA from 1 species
GGGGAGGUGCCAGAGUGGUCGAUCGGGCUCGCCUGCUAAGCGAGUGUGCUAGAAAUAGCACCGAGGGUUCGAAUCCCUCCCUCUCCG